rnacentral:ncRNA from 1 species
UGUCUUCAGGGCAGGGUGAAAUUCCCUACCGGCGGUAGAGCCCGCGAACCUAACAAGUUAGGCCGAUUCGGUGAGAUUCCGGAGCCGACAGUAUAGUCUGGAUGGAAGAAGAUU